AAAGAUCGCAGCCUUCGGCAGCUCCUACAGGGUGUACACCAUCCCGGUGUAGGAGCUGCCGAAGGCUGCGAUCUUU
rnacentral:misc_RNA from 1 species